rnacentral:rRNA from 1 species
AGUGAACGCUGGCGGUAGGCCUAACACAUGCAAGUCGAACGGCAGCACAGUAAGAGCUUGCUCUUACGGGUGGCGAGUGGCGGACGGGUGAGGAAUACAUCGGAAUCUACUUUUUCGUGGGGGAUAACGUAGGGAAACUUACGCUAAUACCGCAUACGACCUACGGGUGAAAGCAGGGGAUCUUCGGACCUUGCGCGAUUGAAUGAGCCGAUGUCGGAUUAGCUAGUUGGCGGGGUAAAGGCCCACCAAGGCGACGAUCCGUAGCUGGUCUGAGAGGAUGAUCAGCCACACUGGAACUGAGACACGGUCCAGACUCCUACGGGAGGCAGCAGUGGGGAAUAUUGGACAAUGGGCGCAAGCCUGAUCCAGCCAUACCGCGUGGGUGAAGAAGGCCUUCGAGUUGUAAAGCCCUUUUGUUGGGAAAGAAAAGCAGCAGGUUAAUACCCCGCUGCUCUGACGGUACCCAAAGAAUAAGCACCGGCUAACUUCGUG